rnacentral:misc_RNA from 1 species
GAUGAAGAACGCAGUGAAAUGCGAUAAGUAGUGUGAAUUGCAGAAUUCAGUGAAUCAUCGAAUCUUUGAACGCACAUUGCGCCCCUUGGUACUCCAUGGGGCAUGCCUGUUCGAGCGUCAUUUGUACCUUCAAGCUUUGCUUGGUGUUGGGUGUUUGUCUCGCCUUUGCGUGUAGACUCGCCUUAAAAUAAUUGGCAGCCGGCGUAUUGAUUUCGGAGCGCAGUACAUCUCGCGCUUUGCACUCAUAACGACAGCGUCCAAAAGUACAUUUUACACUCUUGACCUCGGAUCAGGUAGGGAUACCCGCUGAACUUAAGCAUAUCAAUAAGCGGAGGA